rnacentral:lncRNA from 10 species
GCGAAGUGGAGGCUGAUGGAUGUAGGAGAAGAUCUCACACAGGCUGGGGGGCAAGUGUGGGUGCCCUGAGGUGCCCAGGGAGGGGAGCGUAAGGCAGGGCAGACCCGGGAGGGCCACGAGUGCCAGGCGAGGAGCAUGGUGGCUUCCAUCCUGAGGGUGAUACGGCCAUGAGGGGUUUAAUAGGUGGGGCAGGGUCAGCUCAGGGGGCCCAGAUAUGGGGGGAGACCAGCCUGGGAGCAUCUGGGGACACUUUCUGGAAGACGUGAGUACUACAGCACUAAGAGUUUGCUAGAAGGGCAGGAAUGAAGGGCCCUCCCAGUACAAAGGUGUGAAGACGGUGGUGAACUGCGCGGGGAAGGGGCGAAGACGGUGGUGAACUGCGGGGAAGGGGUGAAGACGGUGGUGAACUGCGCGGGGAAGGGGCGAAGACGGUGGUGAACUGCGCGGGGAAGGGGUGAAGACGGUGGUGAACUGCGUGGGGAAGGGGCGAAGACGGUGGUGAACUGCGAACUGUGCGGGGUAGGGGUGAAGACGGUGGUGAACUGCGCGGGGAAGGGGUGAAGACGGUGAACUGCG